GUUGUCUACUUCUUUAUUUCCCUUUGGAUGGGCGCUCAUGUCGGCGUGGGGCACAGCGGCCUCCGAGGGAGCCGAGCCGGCGGAUGUGGAGGCUGCCGAGCGGCGGUGCUCGCGUGAAGGAGGAAUAUGAUGAUGCGUGGAGUGGCGUGGGGUACCAACCAUCUCCAUCGAGUGGCGGUGCUCGCGUGAAGGAUGAGUUCGUUAGCACUCUCUCGGCUGUGGCUGCACGUUCAACUGGCCAGUCAAGGAGCUCCAGCAAGCAGGACACCCAGCGAGUGUUUAGGAUCCCACACACGACAAU